CGGCCGCGUCGACCAAGGCUUGACAUGUUCCCGAUCGCCGUAGAGAUACGAUUUCCCCUUUGGGGCGGGUUCACAGGUGGUGCAUGGUUGUCGUCAGCUCGUGUCGUGAGAUGUUGGGUUAAGUCCCGCAACGAGCGCAACCCUUGUCCUUAGUUACCAGCACGUUAUGGUGGGCACUCUAAGGAGACUGCCGGUGACAAACCGGAGGAAGGUGGGGAUGACGUCAAGUCAUCAUGGCCCUUACGGCCUGGGCUACACACGUGCUACAAUGGUCGGUACAAAGGGUUGCCAAGCCGCGAGGUGGAGCUAAUCCCAUAAAACCGAUCGUAGUCCGGAUCGCAGUCUGCAACUCGACUGCGUGAAGUCGGAAUCGCUAGUAAUCGUGAAUCAGAAUGUCACGGUGAAUACGUUCCCGGGCCUUGUACACACCGCCGUCGACGCGGCCG
rnacentral:rRNA from 1 species